ensembl:lncRNA
UUUUUAUCAAAAAGUGCAAGAAAACAUGUCCAGCAACAGAUAUAGUAAAACUACAGUAUUUGAAUGUGAUAAAGUACAAAAUAAACAUUAUACAAUACAAAAUAAACAAGGGCUAGAAUGGCAGUAAUAAACAUACGACCUAGCAGCAAUCGAUAGUUAUUGAAUAUUAUAGACACAUCAGUGCAAUAAGCUUAUGAACGGUGGCAUAACACUAAAACUACAGACAGAAUUAAGAACAUUCACACACAGCUUUAAAUAUAUUAAGAGGUUAAUGCGAUCAUAUACAUAACAAUGUACAUAGCAGCAGUUAAAAAAAAGUAAAAAGAGUACUGUAGAUUAGCAGGAAUAUUGGUUGUGCUGGAGAUGUCAUUCAUACUCAUGGCAGGUACCUUGUACCGCCGCAACAUCUUCUCCCACCUGUACGGUCAGCUGCCCCUUUCUGGUACCUGGGGACCUGGUUCUGGACAGCCUUGUCAGUGGCAUCCCGGUUGGAAGGAUUCUUCCUUAUGGCUCCUGUAAUACAGUACUCAGAUAUUGUACUUGUGCAAUUGGGCUGUACUCUGCUGGCAAUACUCGGCCCUCAUUCAGGGUGGUCGCGGUUGGUGGGUGUCCUUUUAGUUGAUGCCUGGCAAUGUGGGUGGAUUGAUUUCCUGUCUGUUGGGCCCUGUCUGGGGCCUCCCCCGGGUAGGGCCAGUGUCGCCGGACCCCCCCGUCUCAGUUCCUAGGUCUUACGCUGCUCUACUAUUGUGCUGGGGGAUUGGGUCAGUUCUCCGUGCCCACAAAGUUCUCCUUCUCCACUAUAAAUCGUUGUUGAUAUGAUGAAUGCAUUUUCUGAAUUUUCCCAGUCUUCUCCCAUUUUAAACUUUAGGAGGACAUGAGGUCCUGGUCCACACCUGCGGAGUACCUGGUUUGG